CUGGAAAGAGGUAAGUGUGUGUGUGUGACUGUUUGCCUGUUUGUGUGACUGUCUGUCUGUGUGUGUGUGUGACUGUCUGUGUGACUGCCUGCCUGUGUGCGUGUGACUGUCUGUGUGUGUGUGUGUGUGUGUGUGACUGUCUGUGUGACUGCCUGUCCUUGUGUGUGUGUGUGACUGUCUGUCUCUGUGUGUGUGUGUGACUGUCUCUGUGUGUGACUGCCUGCCUGUGUGUGACUGUCUGUGUGUGUGACUG